rnacentral:rRNA from 1 species
CAGCCGCCACGGUAAUACGGAGGGUGCAAGCGUUGAUCGGAAUUACUGGGCGUAAAGCGCACGCAGGCGGUCUGACAAGUCAGAUGUGAAAUCCCUGAGCUUAACUUAGGAAUUGCAUUCGAUACUGGGAAGCUAGAGUAUGGGAGAGGAUGGUAGAAUUCCAGGUGUAGCGGUGAAAUGCGUAGAGAUCUGGAGGAAUACCGAUGGCGAAGGCAGCCAUCUGGCCUAAUACUGACGCUGAGGUACGAAAGCAUGGGGAGCAAACAGGAUUAGAUACCCCGGUAGUCCCUGUCUCUUAUAC